GACGAACGCUGGCGGCGUGCCUAAUACAUGCAAGUCGACCUUAGUGGCGAACGGGUGAGUAACACGUGGGUAACCUGCCCAUCAGAAUGGGGUAACCCUUAGAAACAGGCGCAAAUACCGUUUACGGAUGGAGGGACCCGCGGAGCAUUAGCUGGUUGUUGAGGUAACGGCUCACCAAGGCCACGAUGCAUAGCUGCGCUGAGAGGGUGAUCGGCCACAUUGGGACUGAGACACGGCCCAGACUCCUACGGGAGGCAGCAGUAGGGAAGAGUGUGCAAUGGGCGAAAGUCUGACCGAGCCAUGCCGCGUGUGGGAAGAAGGUUUUCGGAUCGUAAAACACUGUUGUUAGAGAAGCGGUAUCUAAACAGAAAGCCACGGCUAACUACGUGCCAGCAGCCGCGGUAAUUC
rnacentral:rRNA from 1 species